rnacentral:lncRNA from 1 species
ACACAUAUAAUUAUAUUUGUUUAAAUUAUUAUCAAUAUGAAUGUGUCAAAGUCUAUAUCAUAUAUAAUGUCUAUGUUUGUGUCGUAUCCAAGAGGGCAAAAGAGCUAAUAGUGUACUCAUGCUUUCUCUUGCUUUAACUACAAUGAUUUCAAAUUGUGGUUGGAUCGGGUAAGAUUGUUUUACCUUUUGCUUUUAUAAUAAGAAAAGAAAAAUGACAAAGAUCAGAAGUUUGGAAGAAAGAAGGUACUUCUUGCGGUUAUUGCGUGGAAUUAUUUUUAGUAUAUAAUAAAAAGAGAAUGAAAAAAAUAAUGAUGAUUAUGAUUAUGAAAGAAAUAAAAACAAAAACUGAUCAAGGUGAGGUUUUGUAUCAUGGACUAGGAAAGCUGGCCUUCAGUAUCAUGUUCAUGGUCCCACCGCAAAACUUGUUGCAUGAAACAAAAUUAUAAGGGGGACAGGGAACUUGAGCAAAAAUUUCAUAUUUCUUUAAAUUAAAUUGAUCGGGUUGUAUUAAUAAUUAUAAAUAAAUACAUUUAUGGAGAGGAACAAUAUUUUUAAUUAAGGAUUCCAAGAAAUUAAUAUGUUGGCAAUGUAGGUUUGUUUAAUUGGUAAAAAUUUGAAUCACACAUCAAAAUGUGUGGGUUCAAUUUUAUUUUUAGUGUAAGUAUAUUAUUAAUGGACGAUUCUUAAAUACUCUAUAAACAUUGAGUGUCUGUGUCUUCUUGUGAUUUAACUCCCUUGAACUUUUAAUCAUAAAAAAAUUAAUAUGUUUCAUCUUUCAUUUCAAAAAAAUAAAAAUAAAAAAUGAAUAUUGCAUCUUAGAGUAUAUAAGAGUAAAUUCAACCUUUUAACUCAUCAUAGUGUCAUUUAACCUUCAAUUUUGUUAUGAUGCAGGGAUAAGUUUGGAUUAAAGAAUCAAUUGGCCAAACCAAAAUUUGAGGUGGGGAGAGAUUUGGAUUGGAUAUACCUCAUCUCAUAAAAUCCCUCACCUAACCCUAAUUUCGAGUUUUAGUUGUUGGAUCAUGAAGAUAAUUCAGGGAAUCAUCCACGUUGAAUCAAGAACAGUCAUACAAGUGAGUUGGACACUACAUAUUUAUUUAAAAUGUUAGGUUUAUGGGUUUUAAUUUUACACUUAUAUAUCGUUGAACAUUCACUUUUCAAUUUAAUGUGAGACUUUUACUAAAUUCUCCUAUCAGUUGUUAGUUUUUUUUCUUUUUUUACAAACAAAAUAUUCAAACUAAGAUCUACGUUAGUUUGGAUAGUAAUCUUAGGGUUGACAUAGACAAUUAAAUCUUCUACCCACACUACGUAUAACUGCAAUUUAAGUUCAAAGGUUUCUAGGGAUAGACUGCAUGUAAAUUUCAUCUAAAUUAUGAUUGAGG